AUGUGUGAACUUGCCCUCAGGGACGGAGAUAUGAUUUGGGUAUUUGGAAAACCAAGAAAGGGUGAUUUCUCUGAAGCUAAGGUGAAUGGAAGGCAAGGUUUGGCUCCCAUGGUCUUUCAUCAAGAAGUUAAUUUUCAAUCAAUCAGCUGGAAAAAUUAAAGAAGGUGUAGUGAAGGGAAGAAUGUAUCAGGCACAGAGAAGAAGCAACACCACUCUGAAGGAAUGAUGAAGGGUGCUUUUGCCCUGAUGGUUGCCACAGCUGCUUCAUUAUGGGAAAAGCUGAAAACCUGCACCAGCUUAUCAGCGGCAAUGACUUAGCCACAUCUUGUCAUGGAAGCUGGUGACAUGAGCCAAGCCAGUGUAUGGUUUGAGUUUCUUUCUGUUUUGUUUCCUUAGAAUCUCAGUACUUGCAUUUUAAAGGAAUUAUCAAGUUUAACACAAAUCUCAUUCUUUGUUUAUGUGGGUAUGUAAUGGCUAUACCUUUAUAUGGCUUCGAGCAUUCCUGAAAGAGGUGCUGGCUUUGAUCUGAGCUCAGAUGUUCAGUGUUUCUGAGGAUGUGGUACUUGAGGGUACAAGCUAUCCCAAGGAAAUAGGGUAGAACUGCAUUUUACAAGGGGAAGUAGGAGCUGAGGAUGCACUUAGUGUGCACUGAGAGGCACUUGAAACAUCAAAGGACUGUGUCCUAAUACUCUAGAUUGAUUAUUUCAUUCACAUGAAUAGUUCACACUGAAUUUAACUUUCAGAUAAGGUAUUCCCAUGCAUAUGUGCUUUUUCUGAAAGAGGUGCUUUUGUACACACAGGCUGGUAACAAAUCAUGUGAUGCACACAUAUAUGCAACCACAAUGUGCAGCAUAGAUUUAUGAACCCACAACCCCUGCUAUUCAUACCUGAGUACCUAUUUGUGAAUGCAGGGAGAUGUGAAGAGAGGCACAAA
rnacentral:lncRNA from 1 species